UCCCGGCCUGGGGCGCUGACGAAGCUCCCGGCAACCGGACUUCAGGAAUCACUCCCAGCAUAGAAAUUGGGCGUUGGACGGAAGAGGCCAAACUCAGGCACCAGGAUCGGGGGUUUUAUGAGAAGAUGAGAGCUCUCUGGCCCCCGGCGGUUGGAUGAAGGCAUUGCAACCUUCGCUACUCCUCUGCGGCGAGCCUAGAGCAUAUUCGGAGUGACGUCAGUUUGGGGGAUCCAGCACACUGAUGGAGAAGCGAUCCUUCAUCACGUUCAAGUCCCUGCAGCGGUCUGUGUUACGCCUCUGCUUUGGAGGGAACGUCAAGAAAAGUGUGGUCCCUGGGAUUUGGGGUGCAGAGAGGUAGACAGCAGGAAGUGCUUGACCCCAGGAACGCAAGUUUCCAGUGGGACCCGGCAGGAUGUAACCCUGUGAGGAAGUCAAGGCCGUUUCCAGCGGAUGAUCAGUGACAGGAGGUGUGAACAGACCGAGCGAGACAAUCCUCUGUCUAGAGAAAUUGCCCGAGACUUGCAAAUGGGCCAGGAGACGCUGGGCAGGCCAGGUGCGGCCCACCCCCAGGGGUUGCCCGGAACUUCGUCUUUCUUUUGAAGAGGCUGCGCUACAGCUCAGAUGGGGGAGAAACUGGGCUGCAGAAAAUGGAAAUAGUUCUUGCCCACAGCGAUGCAAAUGGAUCUCGUCCCACACAGAUAGGAUUGGCUUCUGUCAUCUGGAAAAGACAACCUCAGACAUUACCUUU
rnacentral:lncRNA from 1 species